GCCGUCACGCCCAACCUAAGUCCCCAGCCGCCCCCCGCUUCCCGUGCCCUGUUUCCCCGCCGUCCCUCGCUUGGCGCCCCUCGGCCGCUGGCCGCCGUCGCCCAAGCGCCGACCUUCCCGGCCCCGGCGCCCCAUUCCCCCGGCGGAGCCCGCGCUCCGCCGACCUCUCCUCCCCCCGUUCAACCACACGUCGAGUCCUAACCCUAGCGCCGCCACCUCUCCUCCCCCUGUUCAACCACGGUGCCAUCUUUAGGCAGAUCUGCGAGGAGGAGGCGCAGGCUCGGCCCCGCACAGCCAUCGACGUGUAGGAGGUGGAGACGCCCGCAUGGCCGUCGGAGGCGGAGGCCCAGCCCCACGCCCAUCGGAGGCGGAGGUCCGGCCCCGUGCGGCCGUCGGCGCGUCAGAGGCGGAGGUCCGGCCCCGUGCGGCCGUCGGCGCGUCGGAGGCGGAGGUCCGGUCCCGCGCUGGCGUCGGCGCGUCGGAGGCGGAGGUCCGACACCGCGCGAGCGUUGGCACGUCGACGGUGGAGGCCCGGCUGGCCCUGCGGCCUGCGCUGCAGCCGUGCUCCUUUUCUUCACAGAUGUGUUGAUUUUUCUUAUCAAGUGGUCGUUCCCUGCAGACCCAUAGCAAGUAUGGCACUGGUGGCAGCACAAGGCAGGUAAGGCCUCGAAACAUUCUGAGACGUUUAAAAGAUCAAUCUUUGCGAGGACCCUCGAACGUGUGUCUGGAUUGCUUGGGAUCCCUGUCAAUCCUUCCACAAAAGGAGCAACCCAAAGUGUUUGGCAGUUCAUGUAGACUCCCAAAUGCCAUUCUCCUUGGACAAGAUGAAAUCGUCGGCGCGUAGUAACGCAACUGCUACGGGUGCUGGAAACGACUUCUACAGGUACCUGAUGAUAGAAUAAUAGGUGAUACCAGGAAUCGUGAUAACAGCUUUGGAAUGGAACAAGAAGCAAGAAGGGAUCGAGUGGAUGCCUGGACGGUAUCACGUGCUAGCUGUGCCAUGAUGGCAUCAAGGAUGAUAACAUCAGUGUAGUUAUCAUCUAUAGUUAGGACCCUUGAUUUGAAUUUCUUAUAGUUACAAUUGUGAACCGAUUGAAGUUUUGGGUUUGCUCAUACUUAGGACGAUUUGUAAUAUGAUUUAUGUGUAAAUGGUUGAUUUCAAUACAUGAAUACACAAAUAUAUGUUUGUGUUAUUGUUGUAUCUUGUGGUGAAUGUUAAUGCAUUGGUGCUAAACAGUA